AGCAGCCGCGGUAAUUCCAGCUCCAAUAGCGUAUAUUAAAGUUGUUGCAGUUAAAAAGCUCGUAGUUGAAUUUCGGGGUCAGUAGGUUGGUCGUGCCACUGGUAUGUACUGGUCUCACUGAUUCCUCCUUCCUGAUGAACCGUAAUGCCAUUAAUUUGGUGUUGCGGGGAAUCUGGACUGUUACUUUGAAAAAAUUAGAGUGUUUAAAGCAGGCUAACGCCUGAAUACAUUAGCAUGGAAUAAUGAAAUAGGACGAUCGAUCCUAUUUUGUUGGUUUCUAGGAUUGACGUAAUGAUUAAUAGGGAUAGUUGGGGGCAUUAGUAUUCAAUUGUCAGAGGUGAAAUUCUUGGAUUUAUUGAAGACUAACUACUGCGAAAGCAUUUGCCAAGGAUGUUUUCAUUAAUCAAGAACGAAAGUUAGGGGAUCGAAGACGAUCAGAUACCGUCGUAGUCUUAACCAUAAACUAUGCCGACUAGGGAUCGGAUGAUGUUAAUUUUUUAAUGUACUCAUUCGGCGUCCG
rnacentral:rRNA from 1 species